rnacentral:rRNA from 1 species
AGUGAACGCUGGCGGUAGGCCUAACACAUGCAAGUCGAACGGCAGCACAGUAAGAUCUUGCUCUUACGGGUGGCGAGUGGCGUACGGGUGAGGAGUACAUCGGAAUCUACUUUUUCGUGGGGGAUAACGUAGGUAAACUUACGCUAAUACCGCAUACGACCUACGGGUGAAAGCAGUGGAUCUUCUGACCUUGCGCGAUUGAAUGAGCCGAUUUCGGAUUAGCUAGUUGGCGGGGUAAAGGCCCACCAAGGCGACGAUCCGUAGCUGGUCUGAGAGGAUGAUAAGCCACAUUGGAACUGAGACACGGUCCAGACUCCUAAGGGAGGCAGCAGUGGGGAAUAUUGGACAAUGGGCGCAAGCCUGAUCCAGCCAUACCGCGUGGGUGAAGAAGGCCUUCGGGUUGUAAAGCCCUUUUGUUGGGAAAGAAAAGCAGCAGGUUAAUACCCCGCUGUUCUGACGGUACCCAAAGAAUAAGCACCGGCUAACUUCGUG